UGCCAGGGCUUGCUUUGCCUGCAGUGUCAGAGAGACAGAGGGUCUGCAAAUUGGUGUCCUCCCUGGGGCAGCCUGUGGCCAAAGAUGGACGGAUGCAUGGAUGUAAAUGGUCCAGCUCCUCAGCCUCUGAUUGGAUCGACUCCAGGGUACAAGUACACUCUCCAGAGGGUCCCAUGUGGCAUCCGCCAAUGGAACAUGUUUAUGUGAUAGGAUGUUAUGGUUCAGAUGAUGAGGUGGCCCCCCAAAGUGCAUGUGAGAGACGAUGCAGGAUGUUCAGAGGUGACAUGGUUAGACCAUGAGAGAGAGAACGGGAUCAGAGGAUCCAUCCACUGCUAUGGAUUAGCCAGGCAGGAAUUGUAGGCAGUAGUGGGUGGCUGGAGGGGGGAGGUCACAUACCUCUGGGGUUUAUAUUUUGUCCCUGGUGAGUGGAGCUCUCUCUCUGCUUCCUGGUGGCCAGGUCCUUAGCUGCUUUCCUCUGCGAUGUGCCUCCACCAUGAUGUUCUGCCUCGACUUGGGCUCAGAGCCGUGGAGUUGGCUGAUUGUGGACUGAACCUCUGAAACCAGGAACCAAACUAUACCAUUCCUCCUCUCUGUUGUUCUUGUCAGGUCUUUUGGUCCCAGUGAAGAAAAAGCUGACUAUAACACAGGUGGUACUUGAAAAGAGGGCCCAAAAGUACCUCCCAUCCUCCACGCUCUUCACCAUGCAACUCUGCUAUGUGCCCAUCAAGAUUUGGAGCUAAUCAAAACAAAUUAAAAAAAAAUAAAGGGAAAAAAAUGAUUUGGAGCUAACCUCCUCCCCCGCCUUGAAUCUGGACUGACCAACCGUUUGUGUGAAGAGAAUGGAGGUGAAUCAAGGGAGCUUUACUACUAGCUUCUGAAACAGAUUCUCAUUUGAGGCAGCUUCUGACCUCCUCUGGCCUGGAGUGGGGGCUGGAGAGAGGAGCUAUUAGGAACCGGAUGGAAGAGCAGAGACACUUCCGCCAUCAUUAAAGAAACCUCAAUCACAGGGAAAGAUGCAGCAGAGACGGAGGAAGAAAGAGGAGGCCAGGCCAGGCCGUGGGGCCAGAGCUCUUGAGGUUGCUCUGGGGCCAGCCAUCUCAUCCGGGGAUUGCUGGUUCAUGGGAUUGUUGCUGGGCCUCGGGGACUCCUGGCCCUGGUGAACUGCAGCCCCAGGGGACGUGCUCCAGCAGGGGACUGUGCCAGGCCACUCCACCAGCAUUGCUCAGAUACACCGGGCCAGAGGGAGACGCAGGAAAAAUGGAUUUAAUAGCAUGCUUGCAAAAGAUCCAUGGGAGUUGAAGGGUGAUGCAGGCAGAUGUAAAGAAAAAUUCAUAUUCUACACAAAAGAAUCAAUGGUCAAAAAUAAAUCUGUAUUCCGCUUCAACUCCCAGAUCUGCAAUUACGGAAGCAGCGUCUUCCUGAGAUCCGCUGUGGGUGUGGACUCGUACGUGGGCAGGCGACAUACCUUCUCUGCCACAUGUCUCCUGUAUUGGUCAGUGUGCCUUCCCUACUGUUGUGCUGUGGCGCUGGAUCAGCUGAAAGGGGCCACUGUUAGAUUUUCAGGAGCUUUAUGAGCUGGUUAUUAGUGCCAUUAUUAAAAAUGAAGUUCUAUGACCUUUCAGUCCAUUCAGUUUUAUUAAAAGCAAGUUUCUGGUCAAAACUUGUGGCUUCUUUAUUGCUUUCCCACACCUUACCAUUAUGUAUGUUCUUGAGGUUUAUUAAGAUUUCUGACUAUUACAGCUAUGCGACAUCUGUAGCUUGGAAAUACCACAGAGUGGUGUGCCCUUUGAACUUCAAGCUCCAUAUACGAUGAGGACAUAUUUGUGGCUUAAGGUGGGUCAGGGCCGGAGUAUUUACACUUUGGAAAUCGGCCAGGGCUA